rnacentral:rRNA from 1 species
GGAAUUUUGGACAAUGGGGGCAACCCUGAUCCAGCCAUGCCGCGUGAGUGAAGAAGGCCUUCGGGUUGUAAAGCUCUUUCAGGUGGGAAGAAAUCGUGCGGCCGAAUAUCCCGCGCGGAUGACGGUACCACCAGAAGAAGCACCGGCUAACUACGUGCCAGCAGCCGCGGUAAUACGUAGGGUGCGAGCGUUAAUCGGAAUUACUGGGCGUAAAGCGUGCGCAGGCGGUUGUGUAAGACAGGUGUGAAAUCCCCGGGCUUAACCUGGGAACUGCGCUUGUGACUGCACGGCUAGAGUACGGCAGAGGGGGGUGGAAUUCCACGUGUAGCAGUGAAAUGCGUAGAUAUGUGGAGGAACACCGAUGGCGAAGGCAGCCCCCUGGGCCGAUACUGACGCUCAUGCACGAAAGCGUGGGGAGCAAAC